UACGUAGGGUGCAAGCGUUAAUCGGAAUUACUGGGCGUAAAGCGUGCGCAGGCGGUUAUGCAAGACAGAUGUGAAAUCCCCGGGCUCAACCUGGGAACUGCAUUUGUGACUGCAUAGCUAGAGUGCGGCAGAGGGAGAUGGAAUUCCGCGUGUAGCAGUGAAAUGCGUAGAUAUGCGGAGGAACACCGAUGGCUAAGGCAAUCUCCUGGGCCUGCACUGACGCUCAUGCACGAAAGCGUGGGGAGCAAACAGG
rnacentral:rRNA from 1 species